UACGUAGGCAGCGAGCGUUGUUCGGAAUUACUGGGCGUAAAGAGUGUGUAGGCGGUGCUCCCAGUCUGUUGUGAAAUCUCCCGGCUUAACUGGGAGGGUGCAGCGGAAACUAGAGUGCUAGAGGGUGGGAGAGGUAAGCGGAAUUCCUGGUGUAGCGGUGGAAUGCGUAGAGAUCCGGAAGAACACCGGUGGCGAAGGCGGCCCGCUGGGCAACUGCUGACACUGAGGCGCGACAGCGUGGGGAGCAAACAGG
rnacentral:rRNA from 1 species